GACGAACGCUGGCGGCGUGCUUAACACAUGCAAGUCGAACGGAAAGGCCCUGCUUUUGUGGGGUGCUCGAGUGGCGAACGGGUGAGUAACACGUGAGUAACCUGCCCUUGACUUUGGGAUAACUUCAGGAAACUGGGGCUAAUACCGGAUAGGAGCUCCUGCUGCAUGGUGGGGGUUGGAAAGUUUCGGCGGUUGGGGAUGGACUCGCGGCUUAUCAGCUUGUUGGUGGGGUAGUGGCUUACCAAGGCUUUGACGGGUAGCCGGCCUGAGAGGGUGACCGGCCACAUUGGGACGGAGAUACGGCCCAGACUCCAACGGGAGGCAGCAGUGGGGAAGAUUGCACAAUGGGCGGAAGCCUGAUGCAGCAACGCCGCGUGCGGGAUGACGGCCUGCGGGUUGUAAACCGCUUUCGCCUGUGACGAAGCGUGAGUGACGGUAAUGGGUAAAGAAGCACCGGCUAACUACGUG
rnacentral:rRNA from 1 species